CUUAAGCACUCUCAGAUUAUCUGCCACCUCUUCUUAUCCCCAACACCCAGGGAUGGCUCGGUCCCAGUCUGCCCCAGCCCAUGAGAUGCCCUAGAAGCCUCCCUCCCUGCAGGAACUUGCACAAGGAGAGCCUGGCCCUGUGCUUCUCUGCCCUCAGCCCUUGGAGAAGCUAGGCCUUAGCAGGGAGGGGCAGGUCUGAGAGGCGCCCCCACAGCCUCACCACCACUGCCCUCACCCUGCCUCCUGCCCUGAACUCGAGGAAGCUGCACCCAGAAGAAAAACUUGUGGGAUCCUCUCUGCCUGUCGCCAGCUGUGCAACCUUGGGCCUGAGAAACUCCUCCCUGUUUUAUAGGAAGAGAACCCAAAACCUAGAAGAGCGUGAGAGGGAAAAGAGGAAGGAGAUUGACUCCCAGGCCGGCAAAGAAGCCUUC
rnacentral:lncRNA from 1 species